CCUACGGGACGGGGUGCCGGCUCCUGGCCGCUGCCGCUGCCGCUGCCGCGGGAAGGGCCUCUCGUGUUCGCCGAAGCCUCUGGCUUCCAAGCCUUCACCAUUGGUGCUUCCUGGUGACUGAGCCCCACCGAGGGGGAUCGCUUUACUGAAGAGCCCGCAGCUGGCAGAGGCAGGACUCCCAAGACGGGCCCUCUUCCAGCCCACCUUAGGGAAGAAGAGGAGCAAGAACUUCCUCUGAUCAUCUGCCUCCCAUCUCCCCUGAGGGAAGGCUGUUUGGGGCUGGUGGUUCUGCUUCCACCCCUCCUCCUGACAGACUGAUCUCCUGUUGGUGUUGUGCAGAACCAUUGCCCUGAAGAGGAGCAGCCUUCUCUGACUGCAGGACUUCCAACUCCUGCUGCACCACCUUCUGAAUUACUCCAGUCUUUUGACAGAAGAAAAGUAGUGAAAUGGGGCCUCCCAUCUGACUGUCUGAUUGUGCCUUCCAUUUUCUGCUUUACUUGUCAUUUUGCCUCAUCUCCAGCUUUCUCUGAGAAGAGGAGUGGUGCCUUCCCUUCAAUAAUGAACAUUCCCACAUCUGGUCACACUUUACAAAUCCCCGUGAUUCUGAACCCCUGUAGGUCUGUGUCCAAACCCCAUUCUCCGUCCCCCACUACCCGAUUCCUUAUUUCCAUCCCCCUCAACCCUUCCAUCCCAAAGUCCCAACCAAAUACUGCCCCUUCUACUGUAACCUCUGGAAUGCCUGUUCCAUAGGCAACAAGUAUCCCUUUAUCCUAAAUCCCUUCCUCUCCCACUCCCUCCAUCUUCUAGUUAUCACUGAAACAUGGCUCCCCUGCUGAUGACACAAUGUCCUUGGCUACUCUUUACGUACUGGCUGUACUUUAAUGCAUUCCCCUUGGCACACUGGUCGUGGCAGGGGAAUUGGAAUACCCCAUUGCCACUUUCAGGUUUCCCCUUCCUCCAUCACUCAGAAACCUCUCCUCCUGUGAGGUUCCUGCAACUCAUCCCUUGCACCCAAUCACAGUCCUGGUAGCUGUUGUCUACGGACCUCCAGGUCACUCCCCUUCCUUCCUCAGUGAAUUCAGUUUUGUCUCCCAGUUUUUCUGGCCUCCCCAACUCCUGCUGUCAUACUGGUAGACUUCACCAUAUGUAUUGACUUUCCAUCAAUCACCCUGUUCACUCAGUUCCUCAACCUUUAUUAAUUCUCCUGACCGACCAGCUCUUAGUCACAUACAAAGAUGGUCAUACCGUUGACCUACCCACAAAUGUAUGACCGCCCCAUUCAAGAAUUCUGG